CAGUAGCCGCGGUAAUACGGAGGGGGCAAGCGUUAUCCGGAAUUAUUGGGCGUAAAGGGUACGUAGGUGGCCUUUUAAGCGUAGGGUAUAAGGCAAUGGCUCAACCAUUGUUCGCCCUAUGAACUGGAAGGCUUGAGUGCAGGAGAGGAAAGCGGAAUUCCUAGUGUAGCGGUGGAAUGCAUAGAUAUUAGGAGGAACAUCAGCGGCGAAGGCGGCUUACCGGACGACAACUGACGUUGAGGCUCGAAGGCGUGGGUAGCAAACAGGAUUAGAUACCCGCGUAGUCCCUGUCUCUUAUACA
rnacentral:rRNA from 1 species